rnacentral:rRNA from 1 species
UACGUAGGGGGCUAGCGUUGUCCGGAAUCAUUGGGCGUAAAGAGCGUGUAGGCGGCCAGGUAGGUCUGCUGUGAAAACUCGAGGCUUAACCUCGAGCUGUCAGCGGAAACCAUCUGGCUAGAGUCCGGAAGAGGAGAAUGGAAUUCCCGGUGUAGCGGUGAAAUGCGCAGAUAUCGGGAAGAACACCCGUGGCGAAGGCGGUUCUCUGGGACGGUACUGGACGCUGAGACGCGAAAGCGUGGGGAGCGAACAGG